rnacentral:misc_RNA from 1 species
UUUCCGUAGGUGAACCUGCGGAAGGAUCAUUAUCGUAAAACCGAGGUGCGAGGGCUGUCGCUGACCUUUUCGGUCGUGCACGCCCGAGCGCUCUCACACAAUCCAUCUCACCCCUUGUGCACCACCGCGUGGGUCCCUUUCUGGCUCGUCCUGAGGGGGGCUUACGUUUUCACACAAACUUUGUAUGCAGUGUAGAAUGUAUUUUUUGUUUUUGCGAUCACGCAAUCAAUACAACUUUCAACAACGGAUCUCUUGGCUCUC